AACGUAGGAGGCGAGCGUUAUCCGGAUUUACUGGGCGUAAAGCGCGUGCAGGCGGUCAUGCAAGUUGGGCGUGAAAUCUCCUGGCUUAACUGGGAGGGGUCGUUCAAGACUGUGUGACUUGAGUGCAGGAGAGGGAAGCGGAAUUCCUGGUGUAGCGGUAAUAUGCGCAGAUAUCAGGAGGAACAUCCGUGGCGAAGGCGGCUUCCUGGCCUGUAACUGACGCUCAGACGCGAAAGCUAGGGUAGCGAACGGGAUUAGAUACCCCU
rnacentral:rRNA from 1 species